rnacentral:rRNA from 1 species
AGCUCCAAUAGCGUAUAUUAAAGUUGUUGCAGUUAAAAAGCUCGUAGUUGAACUUCAGGCCUGGCUGGGUGGUCCGCCUCACGGCGUGUACUAUCCGGCUGGGUCUUACCUCUUGGUGAGCCGGCGUGCCCUUUAUUGGUGUGCGUCGGGGAACCAGGACUUUUACCUUGAGAAAAUUAGAGUGUUCAAAGCAGGCCUGUGCCCGAAUACAUUAGCAUGGAAUAAUAAAAUAGGACGUGCGGUUCUAUUU